AAUGCCAUCAUAGAAUUCUGUUACCUAGCAACGCACUAUCCAAUGAUGCAGUGAUCAGCAAGGAAGUAGAAAAUCCAAUCGAGAAGGCCAGCAUAUCCUUUGGGAGAUUGUUAGAAAGAUUGUGGCUGCAAUGUUUUAUCAGGUUUCAGGCCAAACUGGAGCUGCAGUUUGGUGAGUUGGAAUGGGACAACUGAAAACAAAGAAGACAGAAGAAAUGCUUUAACAAUGGUGACAAGCCCAGACUCAGACAGUUCAUCACAAGUGAAAUCUGGGAGGCAAGUAGAUCAGCUUGGUGCCCUGCAAUCAAGAAUAGGAUUUUUCUUCCUGAGCAGAAGUGUCAUGAGCUUUGCACAUGGUGUGACCCUUCCACCCGGGGGUGGCCUGAGAUCAAUAACCCGCUUCUAAGAGAUGACGGAAACAGAUGGAGGCUACUCUGGACUACUGUUUCAUCAUUUCUCUUCCUGAUGCCUCAACCCUCAGUGUAUUUCACUCUGGCAGUUUCUCGAUUCCUCUGACUUCCCCCAACCCAGACUUCACCUACCGUCACUGCCUCAUCUUGCCUGCAGGACCAGAUCAAGCAAAGAAGCACUGGACGUUUCAAUGCUGAACCCAUAGUUUGUAACCCAAGUUGCUGAAAGAAAUGAUAAAAUUCCUGAUUUAUCCUCUGCCCUCCGAAAUGCCUUCGGUGAAGCACACCACGUACCAAAUGCUUGAAGAUUGACAGAAUGAUGCCCAGAAAACCCGGUGAAGUCCACUUUGGAAAUGUCAUACCACACUGAACACCACCAACAUUAAACCAAAGCCACUCAGAAAUCAGUCUGGGAAGGGAGUACAAAAGAAUGGAAAAGCAAUGAGCAAAAUCUCAAAGACAAAUGUUUGAAGGAUUGGUUACAAGGUCAAAGCCCAAAGUCAGAAACCUGGGGGUCUGAUGUCAACCUGUUGGUAGGACUUGCCAAAUACGAACCACUGCACUUAUCAGUCAAGUACCACACUGACCAACCGUGAACAAAAAUAAAAAAUGAAAUCAGUUACUGA